AUGAACGCUAGCGGCAGGCUUAACACAUGCAAGUCGAGGGGCAACACGGGUAGCAAUACCUGGUGGCGACCGGCGCAAGGGUGCGUAACGCGUGAGCAACAUGCCCUAUACAGGGGGAUAAUCCAGGGAAACUUGGUCUAAUAUCCCAUAGUAUUUAGAGGUGGCAUCACCAUUAAAUUAAAGCUUCGGUGGUAUAGGAUUGGCUCGCGUGACAUUAGCUGGAUGGUGGGGUAACGGCUCACCAUGGCGAUGAUGUCUAGGGGUUCUGAGAGGAAGACCCCCCACACUGGGACUGAGACACGGCCCAGACUCCUACGGGAGGCAGCAGUGAGGAAUAUUGGACAAUGGAUGGAAAUCUGAUCCAGCCAUGCCGCGUGCAGGAAGACGGCCCUAUGGGUUGUAAACUGCUUUUAUAUGGGAGCAAUAAGGUUUACGCGUAGACCGAUGAGAGUACCAUAUGAAUAAGCAUCGGCUAACUCCGUG
rnacentral:rRNA from 1 species